UAAGGAAUAUUGGUCAAUGGACGCAAGUCUGAACCAGCCAUGCCGCGUGAAGGAUGAAGGUCCUCUGGAUUGUAAACUUCUUUUAUCUGGGACGAAAACGGGAUUUUUAUCUCAAUUGACGGUACCAGAGGAAUAAGCACCGGCUAACUCCGUGCCAGCAGCCGCGGUAAUACGGAGGGUGAGAGCGUUAUCCGGAUUUACUGGGUUUAAAGGGUGCGUAGGUGGGCUUAUAAGUCAGUGGUGAAAUCUCCGAGCUUAACUUGGAAACUGCCGUUGAUACUAUAGGUCUUGAAUUAUCUGGAGGUAAGCGGAAUAUGUCAUGUAGCGGUGAAAUGCUUAGAUAUGACAUAGAACACCAAUUGCGAAGGCAGCUUACUACAUAUAAAUUGACGCUGAGGCACGAAAGCGUGGGGAUCAAACA
rnacentral:rRNA from 1 species